GAAAUGCGAUAGGUAAUGUGAAUUGCAGAAUUCAGUGAAUCAUCGAAUCUUUGAACGCACAUUGCGCCCGCCAGUAUUCUGGCGGGCAUGCCUGUCCGAGCGUCAUUUCAACCAUCAAGCCCCCGGGCUUGUGUUGGGGACCUGCGGCUGCCCGCAGGCCCUGAAAACCAGUGGCGGGCUCGCUGUCACACCGAGCGUAGUAGCAAUCACCUCGCUCAGGGCGUGCUGCGGGUUCCGGCCGUUAAACAGCCUUACAAAACCCAAGGUUGACCUCGGAUCAGGUAGGAAGACCCGCUGAACUUAAGC
rnacentral:misc_RNA from 1 species